rnacentral:rRNA from 1 species
AAUCAACGCUGGCGGCGUGCCUAACACAUGCAAGUCGAACGAGAAAGUGAAGCUUGCUUCGCGAGUACAGUGGCAGACGGGUGAGUAACACGUGAACAACCUACCCUCGAGUGGGGAAUAACACCGCGAAAGCGGUGCUAAUACCGCAUAACAUCUCUGAAUCGCAUGAUUUUGAGAUCAAAAGCGAAAGUUGCUUGAGGAGGGGUUCGCGCCUGAUUAGCUAGUUGGUGAGGUAACGGCCCACCAAGGCUACGAUCAGUAGCCGGCCUGAGAGGGCGAACGGCCACACUGGAACUGAGACACGGUCCAGACUCCUACGGGAGGCUG